AAACCGGGCAGAGAGGCUGGAAACGGCAGAGGAGGAAAAGAAGAAAGAAAAGAAAAGAAAAAGAAGAAGAAAAAGAAGAGGAGAAAAAGGAAGGAAAAUAGAUAGUUCAAGCUUAUUUCCAUUCUCCUUUCUCUAUAUUUUCUUCAAGAGGUAAAUGAAUGAUUUUAUGUUAAAUUUUUAGGGUUUUAACUUGUGGUAUAAAUUUCAGAUUUAAGAGGCUAAGAGUACAAAUUGGAGCUCAAGUUUGUUGAUUCUUUAAUCUCCAAUUUCAUUAAGGUAAGAAUACUAAUUUUUGGCAAACCCUAGAUUUUAAAUUGGAUACUUGAGUAAGGAUUAAUUGUGAACAUGAUUAUGGUGAUGAUCUAUUAACUUGAAAGAAUGGAUCUAUGGAAUAAGAUAUAAAUUAGAUUGGUGCGAGUGGGAAUUCAAGUUUCACUAGAUUAGAAUAAAGAAUUGUUUUUAUUUUUGGGAUGUAGGCAAUUAUGAUAAUUUAAAGAUUAGUGAAAUGCUAGAAGGUAGAAUUUGUUUCAAUUGUGAAGGAAACUAAAGAAUAUAUUCAAGUGCCGAAAAGUCAAGUUCUAAGAUUUCAUAAUUAAAUGUUAAGAUACAUAGUAUGGGAGUUGUUAAAUUAGUUAUUUUACAUCGUAUUUCAGGUGAUGACGUGAAAGCUUGACAAGGUUGGUCAAUUUGACCAGAUUGCUAUCCAUAGAUCUAUGAGUGGAGAAUCUACGUUUCCAAAAAGAAUAUUUUCUUUUUAUUUUAUAGAAGCAAAUUAAUUACAUGAGAUGCCUUAUUUUCUUACUCUAGUGCACCGAGGGGUUAUGGCCGUGUACUAGAGUCAUGUAUUUAACUCCUAUACACUGAGGGACUACAGCCGUGUGUAAGGGCAUUUCUUAUCCACUGAGGGGCUACGACCGUGGGUAAAGGUAUCCAUUAUACAUUAAGGGGCUACAGCCGUGCAUAAAGAUGAUUAUGUUGUUUCCAUCUUGUACACUGAGGGGCUACGACUGUGUACAGAGUAUUGAUCAGAAGGUUUAUGUACGUAUGAUUUAUAGCUUUCAGAUCAUUAGUAGAUGUUUACACGGGAUAUAUUUGAUGUAAAUUUUAAUUAUAUAGAGGAUUAUUAGUCUUCAGCUUCCAGUUACCCGUUUACAGUUCAACUUAUGGAUUUCAGAUUAUAGAGUUCAAUUUAUUUAGUUCUAAGAAUAAAGCUUCCGGCUUAUAAUAUUGAGCAACAAUAUUCCAUAGAUUUUCAUGAAUACUAGAUUCUUUGUAUUCGUUAUACUUUGC
rnacentral:lncRNA from 1 species